CCCUGCCAUUUGUACACACCGCCCGUCGCUCCUACCGAUUUUGAGUGAUUAGGUAAACCUUCUGGAUCAUGGCAGUCUUCAAGGCUGCUAUGAGAAGUUAAGUAAAUCAUUAUCACUUAGAGGAAGGAGAAGUC
rnacentral:rRNA from 1 species